UUUUCUUAUCAGGUCCCGAGGUAAAAUCACCAGGCUGCAAACCUGGAAAAGAGACGUUAAGAUCUCCGGGGCUUCUCCCGUUUUUCUCUAACGGGAGAAGUAGAUAGAAGCUCACUGGAUUGAGUGAUUAGCUGUUAAUUAAUUGUUUACGGGAUCGAGGCCCGUCUGUCUAG
rnacentral:tRNA from 1 species